rnacentral:snRNA from 1 species
AUCUCUUUGCCUUUUGGCUUAGAUCAAGUGUAGUAUCUGUUCUUUUCAGUGUAACAACUGAAACGACACCAUUGGUGUCUUCUAAUUUGUUACUCUUAUUUUUGACUCUCGCCACCAGCUCCCUGGGCUUGCCUAUAGCUGGUAGCACAGUGUCGUUGCUAUUGCACUGCCGGCAACUGACGCAGACCCUCU